CUACGGGAUGCUGCAGUCGAGAAUAUUCGACAAUGGGCGAAAGCCUGAUCGAGCGACGCCGCGUGCGGGAUGAAGGCCUUCGGGUCGUAAACCGCUUUUGCGUGGGAAGUACUUUGACGGUACCACGAGAAUAAGGGGUUGCUAACUCUGUGCCAGCAGCAGCGGUAAUACAGAGACCCCGAGCGUUAUCCGGAUUUACUGGGCGUAAAGGGCGAGCAGCCGGUCGUGCUAGUCUGAUGUUAAAUGGCGAGGCCCAACUUCGCCGCCGCAUCGGAAACGGUACGACUCGAGCGGGUGAGAGGCAGGCAGAACGUGUAGUGUAGGGGUGAAAUCCACUGAUAUUACACGGAAUACCAAAAGCGAAGGCAGCCUGCUAGCGCCUUGCUGACGGUCAAUCGCGAAAGCGUGGGGAUCAAAAAGGAUUAGAUACCCCCGUAGUC
rnacentral:rRNA from 1 species